rnacentral:rRNA from 1 species
AACGCGAAGAACCUUACCCAGACUUGACAUGUAGUGGACAAUUCCAGAAAUGGAACUUUCCUUCGGGACCGCUACACAGGUGCUGCAUGGCUGUCGUCAGCUCGUGCCGUGAGGUGUUUGGUUAAGUCCAGCAACGAGCGCAACCCUUAUCAUUAGUUGCCAACAUUUAAGGUGGGAACUCUAAUGAGACUGCCCGGGUUAACCGGGAGGAAGGUGAGGAUGACGUCAAGUCCGCAUGGCCCUUAUGUCUGGGGCUACACACGUGCUACAAUGGUCGGUACAGAAGGCAGCUAAGCCGCGAGGUAGAGCAAAUCCCAAAAGCCGAUCUCAGUUCAGAUUGUAGUCUGCAACUCGACUACAUGAAGACGGAAUUGCUAGUAAUGGCAGGUCAGCAACACUGCCGUGAAUACGUUCCCGGGCCUUGUACACACCGCGAGC